rnacentral:rRNA from 1 species
UACGGAGGAUGCAAGCGUUAUCCGGAUUCAUUGGGUUUAAAGGGUGCGUAGGCGGACUAUUAAGUCAGUGGUGAAAGCCUGCAGCUUAACUGCAGAACUGCCAUUGAUACUGAUAGUCUUGAGUUUGGUUAAGGUAGGCGGAAUGUGUAAUGUAGCGGUGAAAUGCUUAGAUAUUACACAGAACACCAAUUGCGUAGGCAGCUUACUGAGCCGACACUGACGCUGAGGCACGAAAGCGUGGGGAGCAAACAGGAUUA